GACGAACGCUGGCGGCGUGCCUAAUACAUGCAAGUAGAACGCUGAAGCGAGGAGCUUACUCUUCUUGGAUGAGUUGCGAACGGGUGAGUAACGCGUAGGUAACCUGCCUUGUAGCGGGGGAUAACUAUGGGAAACGAUAGCUAAUACCGCAUAACAAUGGAUUACACAUGGCAGUUAUUUGAAAGGGGCAAUUGCUCCACUACAAGAUGGACCUGCGUUGUAUUAGCUAGUAGGUGAGGUAAUGGCUCACCUAGGCGACGAUACAUAGCCGACCUGAGAGGGUGGUCGGCCACACUGGGACUGUGACCCGGCACAGACCCCUACGGGAGGCAGCAGUAGGGCUUCUGCGGCCAUCGGGGCAACACUGUCCGCGCAGCGCCGCGUGAGUGUAGAAGGUUGUCGGGUCGUAAAGCUCUGUUGUAAGUCAGGAACGGGUGUGAGACUGGAAAGUUCACACUGUGACGGUAGCUUACCAGAAAGGGACGGCUAACUACGUG
rnacentral:rRNA from 1 species